ACUCUAGGCAACGGAUAUCUUGGCUCUUGCAUCAAUGAAGAACAUAUCAAAAUGCGAUACUUGGUGUGAAUUGCCGAAUCCCAUGAACCAUCGAGUCUUUGAACGCAAUUUGCGACCGAAGCCAUUAGGCCGAGGGCAUGUCUGCCCCCCUCACAUCUCGCCUUCAUCACGGGGUGCGUUCUCGUCGCCCCCUCGCAUCGCGCCUCCAUCACGGGGUGACCUAUCGUCGCGGGGAAAAUACUGGCCUCCCGUGUGCCUCGCGCUCGCUGCUGGCCUAAAUACGAGUCCACGUCGAUGGACAUCACAGCAAGUGGCGGUUGCAACUCAACUCUUUUUCCCAUCGCAGCUACGGCCCAUCGAGCGUCCCGGAAUCCAGGACCCCUUCGCGCUCAGUCGCUUCGACCGCGACACCAGGUCAGGCGGGAUUACCCGCUGAGUUUAAGAAUAUCAAUAAGCGGAGGAAAAGAAACUUAUAAGGAUUCCCUUAGUAACGACGAGCGAAUCGGGAACAGCCCAGCCAUAGAAUCGGGCGGCUCCGUCGUCCGAAUUGUAGUCUGGAGAGCCGUAUCGGGACCAAGUCCCCUGGAAGGGGGCGCCGGUGAGGGUGAGAGACCCGUUGUGCCCGGACCCUAUCACACCAUGAGGCGCUGUCUACGAGUUGGGUUGUUUGGGAAUGCAGCCCAAAUCGGGCGGUGAAUUUCGUCCAAGGAUAAAUACGGGUGAGAGACCGAUAGCGAACAAGUACCGCGAGGGAAAGAUGAAAAGGACUUUGAAAAUAGAGUCAAAGAGUGCUUGCAAUUUUCGGGAGGAAAGCGGAUAGGGGCCGGCGAUGCGCCCUGAGAAGGAUGUAGAACGGCGAUGAGCCGGUCUGCCAAUCGACACGGGGCGUGGACCAGCGUUGAUUGGGGGGGCGGCCAAAGCCCGGGCACUCGAUAUACUUGUGGAACUCCAUCUCCUCGAUUGUGGCAGGCGCGUGCGCCUCCAGCGUGCUUCGGCAUUUGCGUGCUCCGAACGCUGGCCUGUGGGCUCCCCAUUCGACCCGUCUUGAAACACGGACCAAGGAGUCUGACAUGUGUGUGUGUCAACCUACGAGUAUACCCGUAAGGCGCAAUGAAGUUUAUUGGUGGGAUCCCCUCGAGGAGUGCACCGCCGACCGACCUUGAUCUUUUGAGAAGGGUUUGAGUGUGAGCAUACCUGUCGGGACCCGAAAGAUGGUGAACUAUGACUGAGUGGGGCAAAGCCAGAGGAAACUCAAGUAUAGGCCCGUAGCGAUACUGACGUGUAAAUCAUUCGUCUGACUUGGGUAUAGGGGCAAAAGACUAAUCGAAUCAUGUAGUAGAUGGUUCCCACCGAAGUUUCCCUCAGGAUAGCUAGAGCUCGUGCGCGAGUUCUAUCGGGUAAAGCUAAAGAUUUGAGGCCUCGGGGGCGCAACGCCCUCGACAUAUUCUCAAACUUUAAAUAGGUAAGACGAUGCGGCUUCUUGGUUGAGCCGCACCACGGAAUCAAGAGCUCUAAGUGGGCCAUAUUUGGUAAGCAGAACUGGCGAUGCGGGAUGAACAAAAAGCCGGGUUACGGUGACAAACUGGGCACUAACCUAUAUCCCACAAAGGGUGUUGGUCGAUUAAGACAGCAGGACAGUGGUCAUGGAAGUCGAAAUUUGCUAAGGAGUGUAUAACAACUCACCUUUCGAAUAAACUAGCCUCAAAAAUAGAUGGCGCUUAAGCGCGCGACCUACACCCGGCCGUCGGGGAAAAUGCCAGGCCCCGAUGAGUAGGAGGGCGCAGUGAUCGCUGCAAAACCUUGGACGCAAUCCCAGGCGGAGCGGUCGUCGGUGCAGAUCAAGGUGGUAGUAGCAAAUAUUCAAAUGAGAACUUUGAAUGUCGAAAAGGGGAAAGGUUCCAUGUUAACGCCACUUGCACAUGGGUUAGUCGAUCCUAAGGGUCGGGGAAACCUCGACAGACAGUGCAUUUCGCAGCUGCUCCGAAAGGAAAUCGGGUUAAAAUUCCUGAACCGGGAUGUGGCGGUCGACGGCAAGUUAGGAAGUCCAGAGACAUCGGCGGGAGCCUCGGGAAAAGUUAUCUUUUCUAUUAAAUAGCCUGCCCACCCUGGAAUCAGCUCAGUCGGAGGUAGGGUCCAGCGGUUGGAAGAGCACCGCACGUCGCGUAGUGUCCAGUGCCUUCCCGGCGGCCCUUGAAAAUAUAGAAGAACGAAUGUCGUUCAUGCCCGGUCAUACUUAUAACUGCAUCAGGUCUCCAAGGUGAACAACCUCUGGUCGAUGGAACAAUGUAGGCAAGGGAAGUAAGCAAAAUGGAUCCGUAACUUUGGGAAAAGGAUUGGCUCUGAGGGCUAGGCAUGGGGGUCCCAGUCCCGAGCCCGUCGGCUGUCGGUGGACUGCUCGAGAUGCUCCCCUUGCAUUGAAUAGCCAACUCAGAACUGGUACGGACAAGGGGAAUCCAACUGUUUAAUUAAAACAAAGCAUUGCGAAGGUCCCAAUGGAUGUUCACGCAAUAUGAUUUCUGCCCUGUGCUCUGAAUGUCAAACUGAAGAAAUUCAACCAAGCUUGGGUAAAUGGCGAGAGUAACUCUGACUCACUUAAGGUAGCCAAAUGCCUCGUCAUCUAAUUAGUGAUGUGUAUGAAUGGAUUAACGAGAUUCCUACUGUCCCUA
rnacentral:rRNA from 1 species